rnacentral:rRNA from 1 species
UGCGUAGGCGUAUUAAUAAGUCAGUGGUGAAAUCUUUCGGCUCAACCGAGAAACUGCCAUUGAUACUGUUAAUCUUGAGUUCGGUUGAGGUAGGCGGAAUGUGUAAUGUAGCGGUGAAAUGCUUAGAUAUUACACAGAACACCAAUUGCGUAGGCAGCUUACUAGACCGACACUGACGCUGAGGCACGAAAGCGUGGGGAGCGAACAGGAUUAGAUACCCUGGUAGUCC